CCCUCUGGGCUCCUUGGUGAUUCAUAAUAACUUAACGAAUCGCAUGGCCUUGCGCCGGCGAUGGUUCAUUCAAAUUUCUGCCCUAUCAAUUUUCGAUGGUAGAGUAGUGGUCUACCAUGAUCUUAACGGGUAACGGGGAAUUAGGGUUCUAUUCCGGAGAAGGAGCCUGAGAAACGGCUACUACAUCCAAGGAAGGCAGCAGGCGCGCAAAUUACCCAAUGCUAAUUCAGCGAGGUAGUGACAAUAAAUACUGAUACGGGGCUCUUUCGGGUCUCGUAAUUGGAAUGAGUACAAUCUAAAUCCCUUAACGAGGAACAAUUGGAGGGCAAGUCUGGUGCCAGCAGCCGCGGUAAUUCCAGCUCCAAUAGCGUAUAUUAAAGUUGUUGCCGUUAAAAAGCUCGUAGUUGAACCUUGGACCUGGCUGAUCUGUCCUCCUAAUCGAGCGCACGGAUUCGGUCGGGUCUUUCCUUCUGGGGAGCCCUAUGCCCUUCACUGGGUGUAGUGGGGAACCAGGACUUUUACCUUGAAAAAAUUAGAGUGUUCAAAGCAGGCCUUUGCUCGAAUACAUUAGCAUGGAAUAAUAGAAUAGGACAUCGGUUCUAUUUUGUUGGUUUCUAGGACCGCUGUAAUGAUUAAUAGGGAUAGUCGGGGGGCGUCAGUAUUCAAUUGUCAGAGGUGAAAUUCUUGGAUUUAUUGAAGACUAACUACUGCGAAAGCAUUCGCCAAGGAUGUUUUCAUUAAUCAGUGAACGAAAGUUAGGGGAUCGAAGACGAUCAGAUACCGUCGUAGUCUUAACCAUAAACUAUGCCGACUAGGGAUCGGACGGUGGUUUUUUUAUGCCCCGUUCGGCACCUUACGAGAAAUCAAAGUUUUUGGGCUCGGGGGGGAGUAUGGUCGCAAGGCUGAAACUUAAAGAAAUUGACGGAAGGGCACCACCAGGCGUGGAGCCUGCGGCUUAAUUUGACUCAACACGGGGAAACUCACCAGGUCCAGACAUGCUUAGGAUUGACAGAUUGAUAGCUCUUUCUUGAUUGUAUGGGUGGUGGUGCAUGGCCGUUCUUAGUUGGUGGAGUGAUUUGUCUGCUUAAUUGCGAUAACGAACGAGACCUUGACCUGCUAAAUAGCCAGGUUGACUUUUGUCGGCCGCCGGCUUCUUAGAGGGACUUUUGGCUCAAGCCAAUGGAAGUACGAGGCAAUAACAGGUUAACCUUUGGGAGUUACAUUCCAUCACAGGCCUGUAAGAGUGAACCUCGAUAAAAAAUCACUAGUCAAGCAUCGUUCCUCUUGGUGGAAGUUCCACCUAUAGUCGGGAGAGGAGCAGCCGUACAGCGGUUGUCGAUGCUGGCGAGACAACCUGGUUCACGGGACGCUUCUCCAUACUCUUCGGUGUGGAUGCCAAUCCUGAGGCGAGCCAAAGUAGCGUUUGGCCGUCGCAACGCGCGCAAAGGUGUCGGCCCUACGCUCGAGAGAGCUGGGGUUUGAGUACGUGC
rnacentral:rRNA from 1 species